rnacentral:rRNA from 1 species
UACGGGGGGUGCUAACGUUGUCCGGAAUUACUGGGCGUAAAGCGCAUGUAGGUGGUUUGGUAAGUCAGCAAUUAAAGACCGACGCUUAACGUCGGGAGUGUUACUGAUACUGCCUAACUUGAGGAAAACAGGGGUACGCGGAAUUCCCGGUGUAGAGGUGAAAUUCGUAGAUAUCGGGAGGAACACCAGUGGCGAAGGCGGCGAUCUGGGAAGAUACGUGACGCUGAGGUGCGAAAGCGUGGGGAGCGAACAGG